CCCUUAGAUGUUCUGGGCUGCACGCGCGCUACACUGAAGCUAUCAACACGUUUUCCCUCCCUGAGAAGGGCGGGUAACCUUUUGAAUCAGCUUCGUGGUAGGGAUCGGGGCUUGCAAUUGUUCCCCGUGAACCAGGAAUUCCUAGUAGGCGCGAGUCAUAAGCUCGCAUCGAUUAAGUCCCUGCCCUUUGUACACACCGCCCGUCGCUACUACCGAUUGAACGUUUUAGUGAGGCAUUUGGACCGACGCAUCUCAGUUUAACCGCUGGUUUGUGUUGGAAAGACUUCCAAACUUGAGCGUUUAGAGGAAGUAAAAGUCGUAACA
rnacentral:rRNA from 1 species